rnacentral:lncRNA from 1 species
UUUUUUUUUUUUUUAAGAUAAUUCAUCCUUUUUCUUUCCGUGCCCUCUUUUAUCCUUUGUUUUGUGAAGAACACGCAGAUGCAAACACAAAAGGUGGACAUGACUUUCAGCUUUUCACAAAAUAAUAAAAGAACAUGAGGUAGGGGAAAGAAAGAGGACAAGCAAUACUGUUUUUAUAGUCUUUUGAUUAAAAGCAUUGACAGCAACUUCACCUGAGGAAAGCUGUAUUUUACAGAGUGCUUGUCUAAACACCAUAUGUUUAUAGUCUGUCUCCGUCUAAGUUUCUGUAUUUAUUUUUUUUUCUAAAAUAGAGGCUUUGAUUGUUUCAAACUAUUCCUGUAUCUCAUGAUACUAAUUCUAGGUGGCACCAUGUGAAUGUCAUAAAAGGUGAGGAAGGUCCAUAAGAUGCAAGAGUAUAAAAACAAUCCCUUUUCUUUCAGAGAAAUGAAGUGAUUAAUAUCUCAUCAAUUAUUUCUCUCCAGGAUUUUUAGACUGAGAAGAAAAGACCUCCUUUUUGGAACAUAUGGAAUUCACAGAAUUUUACAAGUCCAGAGCUUUGAUCCAUCCUCCAAGUUUAGGAUGGUAUCCUUCAGAUACUGGGCUCUCUGCCAUUGAUAUUCGAGAAAAAGACUGGUGAGAAGGAGCUCAUAGAACAAAAAUGAAGCUGAAAAUCUGAAUCUCUCAAAAAGGGGAAAAAAGGAAGUGGGGGAUUGAUUUAAAUUUGGAGUAGUGAAUAACAAAAGAAAAAAAAAAACAACAACCAAUUAACCAUCAACACCAACAAAACACAUCUGGGAAUGACAUCAGACAGUUAAAUCAGAAAAUACCAACGUUUAACUCAAUUUGCAUAGUCUUUAAUUAGUUAUUGAGAAUGCAAGGUGGGUUUUAUUGUGCUGAAAAGAAUUGAAAUUCAAAUAUUACCUGGAAACUAUUACUGGUAUUUGAUAUCUCUCAUUACAGAGAUCUCAAAAUAUGCUCCUUAUCUGUUUACUUUCAGCAUUUCUUUUUCUUGAAGGAACAAACUUCUGACAGAAUAUACUUAUUUUUGGUAUCACCAGGCACAUAUAGACUGUGAAGCAAAGCCCAGAGAAUUGCUAGGCAUCAGGGUGUGAUAAUACAGUGUCAGACAGGUGGAGAUCCUGCAUCAUGGCUAUUGGCUCUCAACAAACACAUUAACCACUAAUACCGUCAUUUCCA